rnacentral:lncRNA from 13 species
CUUUACUCAGGGUAAAGCUGUACCAGAGAACAUAGCUUGCACCGUGGCUGGAUAGGGGCCACUACCCACCAAGUCUGGUCUGUCAUUUCUACCUAUGUGUAGAGAGAGUUCUCUUCAGAGCACACUUGACCUGCCUGUGCCGGGAAGGGAAUCUCUGCUCUCAUUCCCUGUUAACACAGAGAAGAGAGCCGUGGGACAUCAGCCUCCAGAAGCUCUGGGCAGAACACAACCAAAGCUUGAGGACAAGAACACACUCACCUGGAAGAAUGGGACAAUGCUUGGGAGAACGAAUAGAAUGAAACAACUUAAUAGUCCGGAUGUUUGAACUGGGAGAAAUGGCAGAGAAGGAGUUCUGAAAAGCAUCUCCUCUACAAAGGCAACAAGAACGCUGGCAAAAAUGGUCAAAAUCAACUUUUUCAGAACUCUGGAAAUGAUCUAAAGGCUUGCAACAAUUGGAGGAAUGCUUAAGAAAAACAGGCUGAAUCUCAGUAAGAACAGCCAACUAGGUAACAUUUUAACUUGGGCUAUUCCUAUCCCUCUGAUAUGGUAAUACAGGAGUUAUUAAGAAAUCGUUUUAGUCAGUUGAGAGGGUAAAUGAGUUCUCAGUGGGAUUUUCCUUGAAUACAAAGCAGCCCCACCACUUCCUUACUAACAGAAAGCAGCCUGAGAAACGGCACUGCAAGCACAGACAGCUGGAAGCCAGGCACAUUCAGUAUGGCAGUUUUCGCUCCCUUUUCUUUGUUGCCACAUGUG